GUCAGCAGCUGGGUCCCCUGGCAUUUGGGGUCUGCAGGGGUGGAUAGGUUCUGUCACUACCCCCAGCCACAGAGCCCAGACCACAUCCAUCCACUGGCUUCCAUGGGGCCUGGGACUGGGCUGGGCCCUGGUGGCCACUGGGAGACAGUGUUUGAGGACACAGAAGCCCCUUGGAUGGGUGCGGUAGCCGCCGGGCCUUCAGUGUGCUCUCUUAAGCGCUUUCUUCCCGUCCUCUAGAACGAGCUCACUUAGCCUGCCUCCCUUCCAGACUUGAGCACAGUGUGUAGAGCAACCACCGUCUCCCGAGAGGUGUUGGAGAAGACAGGACCACAGAAUGUGACCUAUGAAGGCUGAUAAACUCAAAAAAGGCAAGAAGCAGCUGCGCAGCACUGGAGAGGUGGUGCCUUGCACAGGAAGAGACAGGUGGGCUGGGAGAGAAGCUGUUUGCCCACGGUCUGCAAACUUGGAGAACUGCAGCCCGGACAGGGAAACUUCAAGACCCAGGGAUUGAACCCACAUCUCCUGCAUUAGCAGGCAAAUUCUUUACUGCUGAACUACCUGGGAAGCCCACUAAAUGUUACCCUGUUUUAAUUAUAAGAUGAAGGAUAAGAUGCCUGAUCUAUCUUCUUAAAACAUCUAUAUACCAGGGUUCAAAUCCUGGGUCCCAGAAGGAGAGAGCAGACUGCAGGGAUGUAUUAAGACAAUGUAUCUUCCAACGUCUUUUACGUGCUUUCAGCUUCCUGAACUGAAACCUGGACGUGCUUGAGAUUGAAUUCCUAGAGAGAAGAUGGUUGGGCCAAAGAUUAUGAAUGUUUUUCAGGUUCAAGAGUGCUAUGGUUAAACGUCCCUCCUGUCAGUGAUCAUAAUACAACACUUUAAAAAAGUCCUCCCUAAAAAAAAAAUAUACAAUAAAAAAUAAAAAUAAAAAAAUAAAAAAGUCCUCCC
ensembl:lncRNA